AAAAUAAACUAAUAUAGUAUUUGUAUAGGUAAGAACUAAGAAGACAUACAUACAAGUAUGAAAAAUGUGAAAGAAUAUAUAACACUCGUGAUUCAUCAUUAUUCCUUCACGAGUAGAUAAUGGUUACACUUACAUUAUUGUUUAGAUUUUUAAAAUCCUCCAAACCUUCAUGAAUAAUAUUUUUUAUUUGAGGGAAAAAUUAAUAAAAUUAAUAAUAAUUAUUGUAGAAGUGUAAAAAAUGUAAAAAAAAUAUACAAUCACUCAUGGUGACAACCUUUACAACUUUCAUGAGGGGGCCAACUUUGAAAUCCAACACUAUAAUUCAUAAACCUUAAAUUUAUAUUUAACCAUCGAUUGCCAUUUGCACUUUAUUAUUCUUACUGAAUUUCAUUUCUUAAAUUUUCUUUUUUGAAAACAUGAUCAUCUGGCGGAUGUAAGAAGAUGAACGGUUCAGAUCUUUGAUAUCACGUUUCGAUAUUUACGGUGAACUGAAAUAUGAGUCGAUGUCAUAUAGUUUGUAGAAACUUUAUAAACAUCAAGCAAUAUUUUCACUGACCGUAAGACUCUGAAUAUAAUAUCAACGAUCCAAACCGUUCAUCUUCCUGCAUCCUUUAAUAGAUCAAGUUUUCAAAAAAGAAAAUCUGAAAAAACAAAAUUUGAUGAGAACAAUGAAGCGUAAAUGUAAACAACAAUCAACGGUUAAAUUUUGAUCUAUGAUUUAUAUGAUUAUAGUAGCGAAUUUCAAAGUUAAGCUCCUCAUGAAAGUGGUAAAGCUUGUCAUUACGAUCGUUUAUAUAUAUUUUUCUAUAUUUUUUUACACUUCUACAUUAAUUAAAAAACUAUUAAAGACUUUAGGUAAGUGAAAAUAUACUUAAAAGAAAAUUGUGUUUUUAUGUUUUGGAUGUGACAAUAUGGUAUGUAUAUACUUAUUUAGUAUUAUGUUUUUCAUUUGAUUAUGUUGAUGCACAAAAUCGGUGAGGACUUUGGUACAACAGAAAGUGUUAAGUUUGUGACCUUCGCUAGAUUGCUCCGAUCACUAGUGUGGAUAAGUAUGUAAAUGGAUAGGGACAGGGAAGCAAACACAAGAUGUACGUGGUUCAUCCAGAUUGGAUACAUCCACGGAGUAGAUGAGUUCUCAUUAAUUGUGAUGGGUUUACACAAAUACACAGGUUCAAGCUCUCCUUUAGUGAGUACUAGUGAAUGAUUUAGUACAAAUAACAUUAGAAAAUAUUGUGAGAGAAUGAUCUCUAUUUAUAGAAGAGAGUUUCUAGUUUCAUUCUGACAUUGACACGUGUCGUGUUGUGAUUGGCUUCUGAUGUUGACAUGUGUCGCGCUAUGAUUGGCUUCUGAUGUCGACACGUGUCGUACUGUGAUUGGCCUCCUGGUUGGAGGGAAAUU
rnacentral:lncRNA from 1 species